AACGCGAAGAACCUUACCUACCCUUGACAUGUACGGAAGUCCGCUGAGAGGUGGAUGUGCCCGAAAGGGAGCCGUAACACAGGUGCUGCAUGGCUGUCGUCAGCUCGUGUCGUGAGGUGUUGGGUUAAGUCCCGCAACGAGCGCAACCCUUGUCCCUAGUUGCUACGCAAGAGCACUCCAGGGAGACUGCCGGUGACAAACCGGAGGAAGGUGGGGAUGACGUCAAGUCCUCAUGGCCCUUAUGGGUAGGGCUUCACACGUCAUACAAUGGUCGGAACAGAGGGUUGCCAAGCCGCGAGGUGGAGCCAAUCCCAGAAAACCGAUCGUAGUCCGGAUCGCAGUCUGCAACUCGACUGCGUGAAGCUGGAAUCGCUAGUAAUCGCGGAUCAGCAUGCCGCGGUGAAUACGUUCCC
rnacentral:rRNA from 1 species